GUAACAAGGUUUCCGUAGGUGACCUGCGGAAGGAUCAUUA
rnacentral:rRNA from 3 species